GAUGAACGCUGGCGGCGUGCUUAACACAUGCAAGUCGAACGAAGCUGCUAAAAGGAAGUCUUCGGACGGAAUUUUAGUAGACUUAGUGGCGGACGGGUGAGUAACGCGUGGAUAACCUGCCUUAUACAGGGGGAUAACGGAGAGAAAUUUCCGCUAAGACCGCAUAAGACCACAGCACCGCAUGGUGCAGGGGUAAAAUAUUUAUAGGUAUAAGAUGGAUCCGCGUCCGAUUAGCUGGUUGGUGAGGUAGAGGCUCACCAAGGCGACGAUCGGUAGCCGGCCUGAGAGGGUGAACGGCCACAUUGGGACUGAGACACGGCCCAAACUCCUACGGGAGGCAGCAGUGGGGAAUAUUGGACAAUGGGGGAAACCCUGAUCCAGCGACGCCGCGUGAGUGAAGAAGUAUUUCGGUAUGUAAAGCUCUAUCAGCAGGGAAGAAAAUGACGGUACCUGACUAAGAAGCCCCGGCUAACUACGUGCCAGCAGCCGCGGUAAUACGUAGGGGGCAAGCGUUAUCCGGAUUUACUGGGUGUAAAGGGAGCGCAGACGGCGAAGCAAGUCUGAAGUGAAAUGCAUGGGCUCAACCCAUGAAUUGCUUUGGAAACUGUUUGGCUUGAGUGUCGGAGGGGUAAGCGGAAUUCCUAGUGUAGCGGUGAAAUGCGUAGAUAUUAGGAGGAACACCGGAGGCGAAGGCGGCUUACUGGACGACAACUGACGUUGAGGCUCGAAGGCGUGGGGAGCAAACAGG
rnacentral:rRNA from 1 species